rnacentral:rRNA from 1 species
AGCCGCCGCGGUAAUACAGAGGGUGCAAGCGUUGUUCGGAAUUAUUGGGCGUAAAGCGCGUGUAGGCGGCGACGCAUGUCGGGUGUGGAAGCCCUCGGCUUAACCGAGGAAGUGCGCCCGAAACUGCGUUGCUCGAGUGCUGGAGAGGGUAGCGGAAUUCCCGGUGUAGAGGUGAAAUUCGUAGAUAUCGGGAGGAACACCGGUGGCGAAGGCGGCUACCUGGACGGACACUGACGCUGAGACGCGAAAGCGUGGG